UACGAAGGGGGCUAGCGUUGUUCGGAUUUACUGGGCGUAAAGCGCACGUAGGCGGAUCGUUAAGUCAGGGGUGAAAUCCUGGGGCUCAACCCCAGAACUGCCUUUGAUACUGGCGAUCUCGAGUCCGGAAGAGGUGAGUGGAACUCCUAGUGUAGAGGUGGAAUUCGUAGAUAUUAGGAAGAACACCAGUGGCGAAGGCGGCUCACUGGUCCGGUACUGACGCUGAGGUGCGAAAGCGUGGGAGCAAACAGG
rnacentral:rRNA from 1 species